rnacentral:rRNA from 1 species
AUUGAAGAGUUUGAUCAUGGCUCAGAUUGAACGUUGGCGGCAGGUUUCAUACAUGCAAGUCGAACGGGCAAUCACCCUUCGGGGUGUGCGCUAGUGGCGGACGGGUGAGUAACGCGUAGGAAUCUACCUGGUUGAGGGGAAUAACGUCAGGAGACUGAUGCUAAUACCGCAUACGACCUAAGGGUGAAAGCGGGGGAUUUUCGGACCUCGCGCAACCAGAGGAGCCUGCGUUGGAUUAGCUUGUUGGUGAGGUAAUGGCUCACCAAGGCGACGAUCUAUAGCUGGUCUGAGAGGACGAUCAGCCACACUGGAACUGAGACACGGUCCAGACUUCUAAGGAAGGCAGCAGUAGAGAAUAUUGCACAAUGGGGGAAACCCAGAUGCAGGCAUGCCGCGUGUGUGAAGACAGCCCUAGGGUUGUAAAGCACUUUCGGUGGUGAAGAAAGCCGACGCGCUAAUACCGCGUACGGGUAGACGCUAACCACUAAAGAAGCACCGGCUAACUCCGUGCCAGCAGCCGCGGUAAGACGGAGGGUGCAAACGUUAAUCGGAAUUACUGGGCGUAAAGAGCACGUAGGCGGAUUGUCAAGUGGGAUGUGAAAGCCCUAGGCUCAACCUGGGAAUUGCAUUUCAAACUGACUGUCUUGAGUGUAGUAGAGGAAAGUGGAAUUUGCUGUGUAGCGGUGGAAUGCGUAGAUAUGGCAAGGAACAUCAGUGGCGAAGGCGGCUUUCUGGACUAACACUGACGCUGAGGUGCGAAAGCGUGGGUAGCGAACAGGAUUAGAUACCCUGGUAGUCCACGCCGUAAA